rnacentral:rRNA from 1 species
UAAGGAAUAUUGGACAAUGGAGGCAACUCUGAUCCAGCCAUGCCGCGUGAAGGAAUAAGGCCCUAUGGGUUGUAAACUUCUUUUAGACGGGACAAAACCCCUUUACGUGUAAAGGGUUGAUGGUACUGUCAGAAUAAGCAUCGGCUAACUUCGUGCCAGCAGCCGCGGUAAUACGAAGGAUGCAAGCGUUAUCCGGAAUUAUUGGGUUUAAAGGGUGCGUAGGCGGACUAAUAAGUCAGUGGUGAAAGCCUGCAGCUUAACUGCAGAAUUGCCAUUGAUACUGUUACUCUUGAGUACAGUUGAGGUAGGCGGAAUGUGUCAUGUAGCGGUGAAAUGCUUAGAUAUGACACAGAACACCGAUUGCGAAGGCAGCUUGCUAAGCUGUAACUGACGCUGAGGCACGAAAGCGUGGGGAGCAAACA